rnacentral:rRNA from 1 species
CUGCUAUGUCGGUGCCACUUUUGGCAACUUCCUCCUUUUGUAACCGCCUUGUAAACUGGGUAUAAAUACCCCAAUCUUCAAUCAAUAGAAUAACUGUUCAUUCAUAUAUCUGUUUUCCAUUCGCUCCUCUCUCUCUCGAUUCUCUCCAACACGUUAUCACGCACGCCUCUUCCAGAGAGCAAUUAGGCCAAGAACUCGACGGCUCCACCGUCCCUGACCCUCCCUCCGGCCCCAAGGACACGAGGACCCUCGGCCUCGACAGCGCUCCAGCGGCGCAGCACCAGCGCGCGAUGCAGGCGGCUGAGGCACCCCAUGGUUGACGACGCCCUCCUCUGUAGGCGCGUCGAAGCGGCGCCCUCCGGCGCUUCAAUCCGCCACAUGACUGCCAACGACAGCGGCGGCAAACGGCAAGGCCUCUCUAUGGCCAGAGGAGGCCACUCCGGCGAUCUGCAAUUGCCGCAGACGAUGACUGGAGAAGUCUGGAGAAGUUGGCUACUAGAGUUUCGGCCACCACGCGAUUCACGGCGAAGACGAGAUGUUCCUCGUACAAAAAGGAAAGAAACUAAUCAGGGAGAUUGAUUGAUUGAUCUUGUCUUCUUGCAAUCAUCAAUUAAUAAUCUAACAAUGAAUUGUUUUUCUCCUGUAUGUAUAUGCGCUCACACGAAUCUCACGAAGAAUUGAUCAAUCGUGAACUACAAAGAAAGAAGAACCGAUGGAAGAACGCAGCGCCAGCCUCCAUCGAUUCAAGAAUUGGAAGCCUCGAACACACUCUGCCAAAGGACAGAAAAUCAAUCAAUUGAGCGGAUUUAUCAUACUCCAAGCAGGAACAUCAGAACUUGAAAUUGGGCACAAUUUUCAAUUACACAAGGAAGACGCACAGAAAAGGAUAUGGGCGUUGGCAUCCAGGAUCACUCGAUCGAAAAUCCAUACCAAUAACUGUAAGCAUCCAUGUGAUUUCUUCAAUUUGUGAUGUUCUUACCUCUUAAAUGAGAUCGGCCGCGGAUCAGCGGACUCGAUUCCGGACGGAGGAAGGUCUAAGCGGCGGCCGCUCGUCCACUCUCCUCCUCCCUUUUCCCCCUGGAUGCGAUGGUUGAGGCCGCACCCGCAGCCUCCAUCGGCACGGCCGUCUACAGCGGCGACAACCACAUCCCGGCAGCAACGCUCCUCCCUCCGGAGGAGCACCACGGCCCGCCACGCAGCCCGGCAACAGAGACGGCCAACGCGCAUGCGGAGCGCAGUUCUCUCCGCCACACCUUGGCACGGCGGCGGCCUUCGGCUCCGACGCCGCUUCUCCUGAUGCGGCGCGAUGGCGCGGCGGCCAACAUUCGUCCCACGGCGUGGAGAUGCUGCCCAGGCGCAGACGACCUUCGAUUGGCGACGCCAUCUUCCCUCCUAAUUCCUCGCGAGGAGAUGUGCUAUGACUCUGUACAGCCAAAGCUAACUCAAUCGAUGGAUUCUUGGCCGUAGCGAGAAUCACCGGAGAACCUUAUCUCUUCGGCCAUUUAACAAUUUGCAUUUUUUAUUGCCAAAUAAGGACAUCAGCUUUAGUACUACUUGCAUAGAAGCCCUCAGGCUAAUUGUGAUCGUAUCACUCAGACUCUCUGGUCUUCAUAUUGUGCAUCAUAUUUUAAAAAAUGAAUUCUACAUGUAUUAUGAGCAUAGUAGUAUUGUUCAAGUGUUCAUACCUUGAAUUUCCAUUAUAUAUUAGAGACGACAUUGUGC